AGUCGAACGGCAGCGCGGGAGCAAUCCUGGCGGCGAGUGGCGAACGGGUGAGUAAUACAUCGGAACGUGUCCUGUAGUGGGGGAUAGCCCGGCGAAAGCCGGAUUAAUACCGCAUACGCUCUACGGAGGAAAGGGGGGGAUCUUAGGACCUCUCGCUACAGGGGCGGCCGAUGGCAGAUUAGCUAGUUGGUGGGGUAAAGGCCUACCAAGGCGACGAUCUGUAGCUGGUCUGAGAGGACGACCAGCCACACUGGGACUGAGACACGGCCCAGACUCCUACGGGAGGCAGCAGUGGGGAAUUUUGGACAAUGGGCGCAAGCCUGAUCCAGCAAUGCCGCGUGUGUGAAGAAGGCCUUCGGGUUGUAAAGCACUUUUGUCCGGAAAGAAAACCUCUGGGUUAAUACCCCGGGGGGAUGACGGUACCGGAAGAAUAAGCACCGGCUAACUACGUGCCAGCAGCCGCGGUAAUACGUAGGGUGCAAGCGUUAAUCGGAAUUACUGGGCGUAAAGCGUGCGCAGGCGGUUUGCUAAGACAGAUGUGAAAUCCCCGGGCUUAACCUGGGAACUGCAUUUGUGACUGGCAGGCUAGAGUAUGGCAGAGGGGGGUAGAAUUCCACGUGUAGCAGUGAAAUGCGUAGAGAUGUGGAGGAAUACCGAUGGCGAAGGCAGCCCCCUGGGCCAAUACUGACGCUCAUGCACGAAAGCGUGGGGAGCA
rnacentral:rRNA from 1 species